GAGGAAUAUUGGUCAAUGGGCGAGAGCCUGAACCAGCCAAGUAGCGUGCAGGAAGACGGCCCUAUGGGUUGUAAACUGCUUUUAUGUGGGGAUAAAGUGAGCUACGUGUAGUUUAUUGCAGGUACCACAUGAAUAAGGACCGGCUAAUUCCGUGCCAGCAGCCGCGGUAAUACGGAAGGUCCAGGCGUUAUCCGGAUUUAUUGGGUUUAAAGGGAGCGUAGGCCGUGGAUUAAGCGUGUUGUGAAAUGUAGACGCUCAACGUCUGAAUUGCAGCGCGAACUGGUUCACUUGAGUAUGCACAACGUAGGCGGAAUUCGUCGUGUAGCGGUGAAAUGCUUAGAUAUGACGAAGAACUCCGAUUGCGAAGGCAGCUGACGGGAGCGCAACUGACGCUUAAGCUCGAAGGUGCGGGUAUCAAACAGGAUUAGAUACCCUGGUAGUCCGCACAGUAAACGAUGGAUGCCCGCUGUUGGUACCUGGUAUCAGCGGCUAAGCGAAAGCAUUAAGCAUCCCACCUGGGGAGUACGCCGGCAACGGUG
rnacentral:rRNA from 1 species